ACGGAAGGCAGCAGUGGGGAAUAUUGGGCAAUGGGCGAAAGCCUGACCCAGCAACGCCGCGUGAAGGAAGAAGGCCUUCGGGUUGUAAACUUCUUUUACCAGGGAUGAACACAAUGACGGUACCUGGAGAAAAAGCAACGGCUAACUACGUGCCAGCAGCCGCGGUAAUACGUAGGUUGCAAGCGUUGUCCGGAUUUACUGGGUGUAAAGGGCGUGUAGGCGGAGCUGCAAGUCAGAUGUGAAAUCCCGGGGCUUAACCCCGGAACUGCAUUUGAAACUGUAGCCCUUGAGUAUCGGAGAGGCAAGCGGAAUUCCUAGUGUAGCGGUGAAAUGCGUAGAUAUUAGGAAGAACACCAGUGGCGAAGGCGGUUAGCUGGACAGUAACUGACGCUGAGGCGCGAAAGCGUGGGUAGCAAACAGGAUUAGAUACCCUGGUA
rnacentral:rRNA from 1 species